GAUGAACGCUGGCGGCGUGCCUAAUACAUGCAAGUCGAGCGAACAGACGAGGAGCUUGCUCCUCUGACGUUAGCGGCGGACGGGUGAGUAACACGUGGAUAACCUACCUAUAAGACUGGGAUAACUUCGGGAAACCGGAGCUAAUACCGGAUAAUAUAUUGAACCGCAUGGUUCAAUAGUGAAAGACGGUUUUGCUGUCACUUAUAGAUGGAUCCGCGCCGCAUUAGCUAGUUGGUAAGGUAACGGCUUACCAAGGCAACGAUGCGUAGCCGACCUGAGAGGGUGAUCGGCCACCCUGGAACGGAGACACGGUCCAGACUCCUACGGGAGGCAGCAGUAGGGAAUCUUCCGCAAUGGGCGAAAGCUUGACGGAGCAACGCCGCGUGAGUGAUGAAGGUCUUCGGAUCGUAAAACUCUGUUAUUAGGGAAGAACAAAUGUGUAAGUAACUAUGCACGUCUUGACGGUACCUAAUCAGAAAGCCACGGCUAACUACGUG
rnacentral:rRNA from 1 species